rnacentral:rRNA from 1 species
UACGGGGGGAGCAAGCGUUGUUCGGAUUUACUGGGCGUAAAGGGCGCGUAGGCGGCCACCGCAAGUCGACUGUGAAAUCUCCGGGUUUAACCCGGAAAGGUCAGCCGAUACUGCGGGGCUAGAGUGCAGAAGGGGCAACUGGAAUUCUCGGUGUAGCGGUGAAAUGCGUAGAUAUCGAGAGGAACACCUGCGGCGAAGGCGGGUUGCUGGGCUGACACUGACGCUGAGGCGCGAAAGCUAGGGGAGCGAACGGG